UUCUUACAGCAUGGAGCCUGCAGGAGAGAAAUGGAUGGCACCAGGUCUGAGGAAGUAUUUCUGUCCACUAACAGUCGACCUAAACACUGUGAACAGAUUCCUCAAACUGUCUGAUGAAAACAGGAAGGUGACACCUGUGGAAGAGGAGCAGCCGUAUCCUGAUCAUCCAGACAGAUUUGAUCUCUAUCAGCUGCUGUGUACUGAUGGUCUGACUGGUCGCUGUUACUGGGAGGUGGAGUGGAGUGGGAAAGUCUAUGUAUCGCUGAGUUACAGAGGAAUCAACAGAAAAGGAGACAAUGACGAUUCCUGGUUUGGAUUGAAUGAUCAGUCCUGGAGUCUAAUUUGCUCAGAUGAUGGUUACACUGUUUGGCAUAAUCAUAGAAAAGCCUUCAUCCCUCUCUCUUCUGUCUCUGGCAGAGUAGCUGUGUAUGUGGACUGUCCUGCUGGGACUCUGUCCUUCUACAGAGUCUCUUCAGAGACACUGAUCCACAUCUACACCUUCAACACCAAAUUCACUGAAACUCUUUGUCCUGGAUUUCUAUUCAGGAGUCGUUCUAAGAGGUCUUGCUGCUCAUUUUAGUGUAGUUCAUUCUAAGUUAGAGAAAACCUAAGUUCACAUAUCUUUCAUCUAAGAUAUUGUUUUAGAUUGACAUUACAUGUACAACAAGAGAUAAUCACAAAGCACUUCACAAUAAACUACCAGUCAGUCAACAUUGGAUAAAAACAAGAAAUUAAUUCAAGCUGAGUGCAGCAUAGUAUGGCCCUGCAACUCAGUGCUGGUCUGGCCUAGUGGUGUCCACAGGAGCUCCAGCACCACUACCCUGUUGCAUCAUUCAUGAUCUCACGUCUUUCCAGCACCCGUCCACUAAACGGUGCCUUUGGCAAAAAUUCCAGUUCAGUACAAUCUCAACGGCAGGCCUUAAAAGUUUUAUUUAAAUCCUUCAAGACAGGAGUCAUUGUCACUUCCUGUUUUGUGGGGCAGGAUUGACGAGGACUUCCUGUGUGAUUAUCAAGGGUUACAGGAUACAGUUUCCAUCUCAUGCUGGAGGAGUCACCCAAUAAUCUUCAGUUUAUUCUGCCAGUGGCUGGGUCUUAAGUGAUGUCAUUAAACUACCACAGCAAUAUGUGAAGCUGUGCUUCCUGAUAAUGAAUAAGAAAUCUGUUGCAGAUCAGCUGAUGCAUCAUGGAGAUAUAACUACUGGAAUAAUUUAGGGGGCGUCCUGGAGUCACAUUUCAAUGAACCUAUUGGCCUCUUAAGAGGUUAACAAAGUCAUUUAUGUUUUAUGUGAAAACUGGAUGACUGUUUACAGUUUAGAGCCAACUGUAAACAUUGAGGGACUGAAGUUCAUCAUUCUAUCCCACCAACAUGCUCCAGCUCUUGCUGAUCUGCCAUCAGACACAUUAUUAAAUCUGAAUUAAUAAAACACUAAAAGCUAGUCAAUCAGCAGGAAACCAAAUGACUUGAAAGGGGGUGGGGCUAUGGUGAUGUCACAUAUUAACCAUGUGAAUGUGAUCAGUGCUCGAACAUGGAGAUUGUUACUUUGAAAAGGAAUUUCAAGGUAAUGGGAAAGAGAAAUACUGUCAGGUUGUUCUUGUUCUUAUUUUUAACUGCUUAACAAGGUGUCAUGAUUUGUGGUUGUAAAACGGAGAGGUAGACACGGUGGACCCAGGUUGCUUAAUAAUGACGAUGGUUUAAAGAUGAAAAACAAAAACACAAUCCAGGCAGCACAGGUGAACUUGGAGGCAAGGAACUCCACACCGGUAGAGCUGGCAAUGGCAAUGACACGGCAGAAUAGAGGACCAGGAGCAGGGAACGAGGAACAGCUGAGGACAAUAAAGGGGAAGACGAGACGGAGACACAACUGAACACUGAAACCUAAAUAAACAUACAGAAAAAAAACAAAUCCUCACACAAGGACUAAAAUAUUUUAGUAAACCAUCUUACUCUUUUAUAGUUGCUUACUAUUUUAACCUUCCUUUCAGCCAUUUUUAUUAUCCCGUGUUGUUUUUAAAAUCCUAUCAGGACUUUGAGAUUUUUAUAUUAUUAUGUUGAUAUUUCACUUGUUUGUGCUUUGUACUGGUUGUUGUUUCAAACAGUGAACUCUCAAGAUGACUUUUGUUUCUGUGAGGUGACUGUGGUUAAACUAAACAAACUGAGUUUUAUGUUUUUUAUGGGAGUGGAUGAGCAAAUGAAAUCUUUGUAUUGUUACACCUGUUAUAAUAAUGUAUUCUGAUAAUUAUUAAACAACCAAAUUAAGGUUUGGGGUUUAAUUAUUUAUAUUUUUCACUGUUUCUGUGACAACAUCUGUAAUCUGAUUUUUAACUGAGUGCUGUAGCACAAUGGCAUACAUAUGGUUACAUAAUGUAACUUUUACUAUAUGCUGAAGCCUGUUUAUAACUGGGUAGUCCUGAGAUGUUGAUUAUAAACUGUGACUGACAGGCAGCCAUGCAAUCCCACUGCUUAAAAAGUGAAAUGAUUUUUAAUAACUUUUUAUUAUGUCUUUUGCUUUAAUUUAACUAAAUUGCACAAAAUAUUGUAAUCAAAAGUUGAAUAUGUGCCGCCUAUUCCUACCUCUGUGUAUGGGUAGUUUUGUAUAACUUGUUUAUAUUUUGGAACACUAUCAACAAUAAAGAAAACCAUUGAUGUCAGGCUUGGUUGUUUUUUGUUCCACUUAUGUCAGUAAUAAAUAAAGUUGGGGUUAUUUCACAUACUUAAAAUUAAGAAAUUCACAUUCACAAUACUUUAGACUUUUUGCUAAUCAGAGAAAAGUGAGGUGACCGCCUUUAACUGUCCUCGUCUCUUCACUGUGUGAAAACAGCACCCACAUCACUUAACUUUAUUUACAACAAACCUUAAGAU